rnacentral:rRNA from 1 species
UCCUACGGGAGGCAGCAGUGGGGAAUUUUGGACAAUGGGCGCAAGCCUGAUCCAGCCAUGCCGCGUGCAGUGAUGAAGGCCUUCGGGUUGUAAACUGCUUUUGUACGGAACGAAAGGGCUCUUUCUAAUAAAGAGGGCACAUGACGGUACCGUAAGAAUAAGCACCGGCUAACUACGUGCCAGCAGCCGCGGUAAUACGUAGGGUGCGAGCGUUAAUCGGAAUUACUGGGCGUAAAGCGUGCGCAGGCGGUCUUGCAAGACAGUGGUGAAAUCCCCGGGCUCAACCUGGGAACUGCCAUUGUGACUGCAAGGCUGGAGUACGGCAGAGGGGGAUGGAAUUCCGCGUGUAGCAGUGAAAUGCGUAGAUAUGCGGAGGAACACCGAUGGCGAAGGCAGUCACCCUGAGCCUGUACUGACGCUC